rnacentral:rRNA from 1 species
ACCCUCAACUCGAAUGCAAGUCGUGCGGUGUUCCACGGCCGAGGAGACUGUUUGACCCUCUAGCGAGCGCCUCUUGCGGAGUGCUUGCCACGACCGCGACCCCAGGUCA